rnacentral:lncRNA from 1 species
AUAAAGAAGGGAAGAAGGAAGUGGACCCCUUCUCUCUUCCUCCAGAGUCACCAUGUGAUCCCAGGAUGCCAAUGGAAGGCGUCCAAUAAGAUCAAUAGCUCUGGAAGCCAUCUGAAAUGUAAUUUGCUACACCACUUGGACAUUCUGAUUCCAUUGGUAUCAGUGGCAUUUCAGGUCACUAAGUGCUAUCCAAUUUAUUUGUAUUCCGGUGCCACUCCAGUGAAGCAUGCCUCUCUGUCAGCUGAGUGUAAGAUGCAGGUGCUCAGCACUUGGAAGCCAUGCCAUGAACAAAUCGACGGUAUCAGCAGCAGCCAGCCAUCCUGUAGACAAUUUCCAAGUAACGACUGGAGAAGAGUUCUCAAAAUUUUUUAGCAGUCCUAACUUCAGUUUUCCCUGGAAAAUCUGAGAUCACUUUCUUGGACUUUGUUAAACUGUCAUAUUUUAUUCCAACUCUCCUUAAUCCUAUUGAAUAUCUAUUUGGUAUUUUAUUUCCAUAAGUAGUUCCUUUAUCACACUGAAAAUAGAGUCUGGUAUAAUUAUGAUUCUUAUAAACAAUUAUCUUUAAUCAUAUUGAUGAUGAAUUUCAAUAAAAUGUUAUUUCUGAAA